AGUCAACAGUCGCACAAUUUGAGCUCCCAUAAAUGCAGCGAUGCCGCUAGAAGUGGCAGUUGCUCGAGGAUUGUCAUCGCCAUGUGCAGCUCGGGGGGCAGCAGGAAUCCUUGGGACCUUCCCAGCAAAGUGGAGAGGAGACAGCUCAGGGGCUGGGUUUUGGGAGCUGUGCCCCCCUCCACCCCCAUGAUGGCUGCUGAGUUCCCUUUUCUUCUCACAACAGAGUGAGGAUAUGGAAUUGUAAAGGGACCAGUAGGGAACUGACCAGGGAAUAGUUUUCACUCAAUUCCCACGUUCUCUGGGAUUUCUCUCCUUAUCCCCUGGGCAGCCGCCAUUCCCCCCAGCCUGUUAGCUGGAGACAAUGAGCGAGAGCCUCGUUUAAUUUAAUUUUCCUGUCAGCCUAACCAGAGCUGCACUGGAACCCUUACACUUACUCAUGUGGGGCGGGGCUGCCUGGUGUUGCCAUUUGCACCAGAAAGACCCCAAAUGGACACUGUUCUGGGAGCGCCAGGCCUGCCACUUGAGAACAGGCCCUAAUUGCCAUUGAUACAUAGCACUAGUAGAUCCAGCACCAGGCUGCAAGACUGGGCACGGGGCUACCCACCAACCCAAAGCUGCAAACCCUUAGAAGGGAAAGGAAGAGAGAGAGUAAAGGAGGAAACUGUUGGUGAGCCCAGUCCUAACUAUUCCACACAAGUGUGUCCAGACAGCAUGUGCCACAACCUGGGUUAUAGAACGCUUCCCCCAGUGCAGCUGAUGGAUCAUUACAUUUGCCAUUCAACCCUUCCACUGGGGUUCAUUUGAAAGGAAUGAAUAAGAUAUCUUGGAAAUGCAGCAUUGUUGAACCAUUCUGCCACCGAGGGCCUGACCCUGCCGCACCCAUGGCAAUAGCAAAACUCCCAUUGACUUCAAUGGUAGAAAGGAUUGGGUCCCUGAUACUGCUAAGUUUUUUUCUGCCCUAGUGAAUUUUAUCACUGUUUGUCCUACUUGGUGGGGUAAAAAAGUAUCACUUUAUAGAACUACUACUUCCAUGUUUGCUGUUUGACUCAACUUCAGUGUUUCCAGGAAGCUGUGUAUUGACGUAUCUUCACCAUGGCCAUUCCCAGCCCUUACAUUAGUUGAAAAUAGAGGCUUAUCAGUCUAAAAAGUAAAGAGUGGUCAGCAGCAAAGAUAUGAAUGUGUUUAUUGCCCCAUCAUCCAGUAUCUCAGCCUAGGAAAAGAAAAGAAACAGCUCGUGUUUGUAGAAAUGCCUCCUGCUUUCAUCAUUGACAGGAAGGAAAAGUGACAGUCUUAUUAAUAUCCUUUGUGUGAUUCAACAUGAACAGUAGGAACUUGAAUUAAAUAAUUGUUUUUAGUGCGCAUAUGUUUCCUUUUAAUAUCUCUGCUCUCUUCUGUACUGCAGACAUUAAUCUCCUAAAUGCUUUUUUUAUUACAGUCAGACUAAUUUCAGCCCAGACUGUUCAUUUAAUUGACAACUGACGUGACAUUGGGUGUUUUAUGUACUUAAUGGGUCUCUUUGUGUUCUUGGGUUCAUGCAGCAAUAUUUUUGGUGUCUCCCUGGGAAAUGAGAUGCAUUUCUAAACUUUAAGGUUCUGUUCAUAAAUGCAUUUGAAAUACAUUUGACAUGAUCACUACAUGCAGCGACAAUCUCUAAUUGUAUAAUGCAUUUGCACAGCAUUUUAAUCCAGGCCUGCUCCUGCAAACUGCUAGAAAAGAUGGCAUUUGUAGCUAUUACAGAAAUAUGCCUAUGCUGAUAUAAAAGGUGAUUUUUCUGUAAUAAAGCUGUUAACAAUCCAGAAAAUUUACUAAAUACAAAAUGGAAUCUCAUAUCAAUUUUUACUGCAUGCAGGAUGUAAGUUCUUGCGGACACUAAGAUAUCUUUACACCUCUCUGGGAGUGUGAGAUGGCCUUACUGAAGAGUGCCCACAUUAUCCCUUCCCGCAGCCCUUGCUUUAAGGCAUAUUUACAUGGCCAGAGUGGUGGAAGUGGAACUUAAUGUAAACGAGACUGGGGCCCAAUAUGUGUAACAGAGCAGUUCACUGCACUCCACAGAGAUACUUCCUGGGACAGACUUCCUUUCUAGACAUUUUUUAAAUGUAAAGAUUAUCAGAACAAAAAUGAUUUCUCUCACUUCACCUGGAAGGAAAGAAGAAAACUGAGUAAAUUUGUGUUACAUAGAGUGAAUUAGAAUAAAUGUGAUGUUUUGGCUGCGGUUCCAGUUUCAGACUGAGGACAUGAAUAUGAAACAAGGUUAGAGUAAACCCAUUGCAAUUUAGGAUAAUGAUUAAUUAAUUGGUAUGUUUUAAUCUUCAUAUUUCUUAUUUUUAUAAUCCCAGAAGUUGUCUAUGGUAGGUAUAAGCAUUGUAGCAAAUAUGUAACUAACUGAUGUUAUUGCUGCUGUAUUUCUAAUUAAAUUCCUAAAGAC